AGGAAUAUUGGUCAAUGGACGAGAGUCUGAACCAGCCAAGUAGCGUGAAGGAUGAAGGUUCUAUGGAUUGUAAACUUCUUUUAUACGGGAAUAAACGGAUCCACGUGUGGAUUUUUGCAUGUACCGUAUGAAUAAGGAUCGGCUAACUCCGUGCCAGCAGCCGCGGUAAUACGGAGGAUCCGAGCGUUAUCCGGAUUUAUUGGGUUUAAAGGGAGCGUAGAUGGGUUGUUAAGUCAGUUGUGAAAGUUUGCGGCUCAACCGUAAAAUUGCAAUUGAUACUGGCAGUCUUGAGUACAGUUGAGGUAGGCGGAAUUCGUGGUGUAGCGGUGAAAUGCUUAGAUAUCACGAAGAACUCCGAUUGCGAAGGCGGCCUGCUAAGCUGCAACUGACAUUGAGGCUCGAAAGUGUGGGUAUCAAACAGGAUUAGAUACCCUGGUAGUCCACACGGUAAACGAUGAAUACUCGCUGUUUGCGAUAUACAGCAAGCGGCCAAGCGAAAGCGUUAAGUAUUCCACCUGGGGAGUACGCCGGCAACGGUGAAACUCAAAGGAAUUGACGGGGGCCCGCACAAGCGGAGGAACAUGUGGUUUAAUUCGAUGAUACGCGAGGAACCUUACCCGGGCUUAAAUUGCAGAUGAAUUACGGUGAAAGCCGUAAGCCGCAAGGCAUCUGUGAAGGUGCUGCAUGGUUGUCGUCAGCUCGUGCCGUGAGGUGUCGGCUUAAGUGCCAUAACGAGCGCAACCCUUGUUGUCAGUUACUAACAGGUUCCGCUGAGGACUCUGACAAGACUGCCAUCGUAAGAUGUGAGGAAGGUGGGGAUGACGUCAAAUCAGCACGGCCCUUACGUCCGGGGCUACACACGUGUUACAAUGGGGGGUACAGAGGGCCGCUACCACGCGAGUGGAUGCCAAUCCCAAAAACCUCUCUCAGUUCGGACUGGAGUCUGCAACCCGACUCCACGAAGCUGGAUUCGCUAGUAAUCGCGCAUCAGCCACGGCGCGGUGAAUACGUUCCCG
rnacentral:rRNA from 1 species